UUUGAUCAUGGCUCANGGAUGAACGCUAGCGGCAGGCUUAACACAUGCAAGUCGAGGGGCAGCACGAGUAGCAAUACUUGGUGGCGACCGGCGCAAGGGUGCGUAACGCGUGAGCAACAUGCCCGUAUCAGGAGGAUAAUCCAGGGAAACUUGGUCUAAUACUCCAUAAUAAUAUAUAUUGGCAUCGAUAUAUAUUUAAAGCUUCGGUGGAUACGGAUUGGCUCGCGUGACAUUAGCUAGAUGGUAGGGUAACGGCUUACCAUGGCAAUGAUGUCUAGGGGUUCUGAGAGGAAGGUCCCCCACACUGGAACUGAGACACGGUCCAGACUCCUACGGGAGGCAGCAGUGAGGAAUAUUGGACAAUGGAUGGAAAUCUGAUCCAGCCAUGCCGCGUGCAGGAAGAAUGUCCUAUGGAUUGUAAACUGCUUUUGUAUGGGAGCAAUAAGGCCUUCGUGAAGGCUGAUGAGAGUACCAUACGAAUAAGCAUCGGCUAACUCCGUGCCAGCAGCCGCGGUAAUUCA
rnacentral:rRNA from 1 species